UUUUUUUUUUUUUGUCAUCAACAAUCAAAAUUCUAUCCAAGUAAACAAGUCUUAUGGACAAUAUAAUAACAAUUGAUACAUAUGAUAAUUAAAAGAGUAAAAAAUUGCAUCAGGUGCACACAAAUAAAAAGAAAAGAAAAUACGCAUCCAAUCAAUUUUGAUCACAUCUCUAUGUUAAUAUUUAAUGUGGGAUAAAAAAAAAAUAUUUAAUGUGUUAUCUAAGAAAUGUAAAAUUAUUCUUUCUAUGUUAAUAUUUAAUGU
rnacentral:lncRNA from 1 species